AAAACUGGUGUCACCUCAACAACGGAACCAGACAAACCUUGCCACCAUUACAAAACCCAAGCGCCAAAGGAGCAGAAUAUGAAGCUCAUAGCUCUACUGGGCCAGAAUCGAGUGCCCAAGGAGAAAAAAAAAAAAAAAUCAAACUGAGAAUGCAACGCGGGUCUCCUUCGCGGACCGAAGCCCGGAGACGCGCGGUAGGCCCUUCCGGUCCUAGUUGCCGUCACCGAUAGGCCGGGCGACGGGCCCAGCUUCCACCCGAGCCCGGGGAUUCUCGGCCUAUACUAGCUGGCGCCCUCUCGCCGGCGUUGGCCUUAGCGGGUGCCUCCGACUAUGCACCGCGGUUUGCAACAGAAGCUCGGGACGCCGCAGAGUGUCCUGGAGGAGCUGCGCGGAGCGCC
rnacentral:lncRNA from 1 species